UGGUUUAGUUCUGUGUGGAAGACUAGUGAUUUUGUUGUUUUUAGAUAACCAUAUUGACAACAAAUCACGGUCUGCCAUAUGGCACAGACCA
rnacentral:pre_miRNA from 1 species